CUUGGUAGAGUGAGGGUACAAUGAAGAUGAGGUUCUGAUGGGCUUGAUGUUGCUCGUUCCUUGGAUUUGAAACAGGAGUGUUAUGUGUUAUCUUCCGAUCUCCGACGACAACUAUGAGGAGUCUGAGCUCUUUGUUAUGAAUUUAUGGUUAUGAAUUUAUGAUGACCUCAAGGGGCCUAUUUUUUAUGUUGGUUGUGCAAAAUACAUGAUGUAGCAUGACCACUUCUAGUGACUGUUGGGUAAUUGCUCUAUACUUUAAUUACUCUGUCGUAUGCGCUAUGCUUUAUAUUAUGUACUAGUACUACUACUAAUGAAGUGAAAUAUAGUGCCAUCUAUUAAUGCUAAGAUCAAUGAGGAUGCUUAUGUUUUACUGUCUGAACACAUCACAUAACACUGAUGGUUGCUGCUCACCUAGAACAUGGUUUAAAUUUCUAGAUUUUGCAAAAGUUGCGAAAUGAAAAAUCAUAUCGUAAACUUGGUCUCUCUGCAUGAUAAUUGUAUUAUUAGUCAUUUUCCAAUUCGAAAGGAAAGGCAAGUAUAGAGUUGUGUCACUGUGUGGCUGUUUAUGGAGUACUUAAUAUGUGGUAUGUUAGUACAUUGCUUUUUUUUUCAGAAUACAGUCCCAUAUCUGUCCUUGUCUCAAAAUUAUAGUCCACCUUCUGUAAUUUAGUAAAAGUGGGAAAAUGUGUAAACAUGGUCUCCCUGCAUUAUGAUUGUGUUAUAUUAGUAAUUUUCCAAUUAUAUGUCAUAUUCAAAAAGGAAAGACGAGUAUAGAGUUGUGUGGCUGCUUAUACUUGAUAGGGGUUAUGUUAGCUAUAGUAGUUUUAUACACUCCUUGUUCACAGAAUACAUCCCAUAUUUUUUUCUGUCUCAAAUGUAUAACUUACCUUUUUUUGUAAAUUAACACAAAGUUAUCUUUUCUGUAAUUUACCACUAUUUAAUGUUUCAGAAAUAAAUAAUUUUUUAUUUUAAGAGCAUCAAUGAGGAAAUGACACGCUGUAUAUGUCCAUUUUCCGUUACUCGUACUAAAUGCAUUUUCCCAAUAUGUAAGAAAGGAAAGUUGACAUAAUUCUGGGGUGGGCAUUUUGGCCAUUUGCAUCCGAUAAUAACAAAGCUGGCGAGACAUUUGUUCCAAUUCUGAUCCAUGCACAACCUGCGCAUGACUCGUUACUACUCCGCUUGUUUGUUAAGCAAUUUUGCAAUAGAUUCGGCCAAUUCACCAUCAGCUGUCAUGCUCGAGAUGUGCAUAAAUACCACCGCUUCCUCCUCCAUUUCAUACUCAAUAGAUUGGAGCUCUUGUAUUAACGGAGUUUCUUCUGUUCUCUUAUGGAGUAGUUCUUUUAUUUUGAGUAGAGUUGUAGUACUUGUUUGGGUUAUUCUCAUAGUCACUGAUGAACUACUCAGGAGAGUUUACAGGCUUGUUGCCAAGACAGAAAAUGGGGAGAUCCGAGCCUGCUAUGAACAAGAAACAGAGAUUGAUUAUGUCACAAACAAAAUACUCACAAGAACUCGUUAACAGAAUGGUACUACCCAUUCAUUACGAUGUCCGAACCUCAUUUAACAAUUCAUUACUACGUGAAAAGUUCAUUCGUGACCUGGAUGAAAAAAGGUCCGGAAGAUUCGUAAGAUUUAUCGAAAUUUGGAGUGACAAGCUGCUCCUCUCCUCGACUUGAAUAGAUCCGGUGCACCUGCCAUUUCUUACGUCUGAAAGGGAAUGCCAAAGAGGGCCUCAACCUAGAAGACUGCUCAAUGCGCAGAAACUUCUUUGGGGAUGGUUUGAAGGUCACCACCACAAGCAUGUGAGGCGUAUAGUCCGGAUAUAUUGCUGCUUUCAUUUCUUUCUGCAGGCACAGAGGGAGCCCUCAGACGAUCUCUCCCCUUGGAAAGAGAUGAUAUUCUUUUGAAUAUCUAUGUUUAAUGAGACUUAACAUAACAGUCUAACACAAUUAUAUUGUUUAUGCACUAUUUGGAGACUUUGGUUUACAGAAAUAGCGGUUGCUUCGAGUGAUAGCUUAAAUAGAUAGAAAUAAGAGACACUGAGAGCAUCCAUAGCGGGACGGAUGUCCCGACGGACUUCCCAAAAACACAUCCUGCCACGUCAGAAGGACCUCCCACUGCACUGCCACGUCAUAAGGACAUCCCACUGCACAAUGACGGACAUCCCGACGGACAUCCACAAUAAUAAAAAUUCAUAAAUUUACCAAAUUAAACAAUUUACUGAAUUAAAUAAAAAUUCACAAAUUCUUAAUUUGCCGGCGUACGUCAUCAGCACCCGCACCACUACCACUAGCCAUUUUGGAUAUACUAAAAGAAACGUAGAGAGAGAGAAACUCGUUAAAACAAGUGGUGCGAAUGAAAUGAAGUUUAACAAGCCGUAUAUAUAGAGUUUUUUUAUAAAAAAAAUUUAAAAAUCGGGACGUCCGCCGGUCAGCCGGUCGCUCGCCUAAUGACGGACGUCCUGCACGCCGGUCCGACGUCCACCGGGACGUCCGCAGCUGCGGAUGCUCUGAGUAGAUUGAAUAAUUUGAACUUGUUUGAUCAGGUAAUUUUUUGAAUACUCAGGUUUUAUAUAUUUUUUAUUAUUGUAGUUGAGUUGUAUUCUAUUUUUAGUUAUUUAUUGUAUCCAAUUCACUUUCCUUUAUAAAAAAUCAAAAUAUUUAAUUUUUUUACUUUAUUGUGUCAUCUUCUUUACUUUUUCUUAAUAAUCUAUUGAUUGAGUUCAAAAUUGGACCACUAUAUUUGU